UCACUUCUGGAUGGACCUGCGGUGCAUUAGCUUGUUGGUGGGGUAAUGGCCUACCAAGGCGAUGAUGCAUAGCCGAGUUGAGAGACUGAUCGGCCACAAUGGGACUGAGACACGGCCCAUACUCCUACGGGAGGCAGCAGUAGGGAAUCUUCCACAAUGGGCGCAAGCCUGAUGGAGCAACACCGCGUGAGUGAAGAAGGGUUUCGGCUCGUAAAGCUCUGUUGUUAAAGAAGAACACGUAUGAGAGUAACUGUUCAUACGUUGACGGUAUUUAACCAGAAAGUCACGGCUAACUACGUGCCAGCAGCCGCGGUAAUACGUAGGUGGCAAGCGUUAUCCGGAUUUAUUGGGCGUAAAGAGAGUGCAGGCGGCUUUCUAAGUCUGAUGUGAAAGCCUUCGGCUUAACCGGAGAAGUGCAUUCAGAUACUGGAUAACUUGGAGUGCUAAAGAGGGCAGUGGAACCCCUUGUGUACCUGUGGAUUGCGCACAUUU
rnacentral:rRNA from 1 species